GGCUGGUGCAUCUGAGCAUGCAAGGACCCUGGGCCCGAAAGGCUCAGACUGCCACAAGGCUGCUGUGAUCGGCGACACCAUUGGGGAUCCUCUCAAGGACACCUCAGGCCCCUCGCUCAACAUCCUCAUCAAGCUGAUGGCUGUCGAGUCGCUCGUGUUUGCCCCGUUCUUCGCCACCCAUGGAGGCAUCCUCUUCAAGUGGUUUUAGAUGGUGACGAUAGAUUUACGAGGACGUUAUUUUUGCCAGGAGGGCGCUGGAAAUCAUCCAUAUAUUAUAGAGUUCAUCGAGUUGACACAUAUAGUUCCCUCCGUUUCCUAUUUGUUAUUACUGUCUGUCCAUCAGUCGAUCAUGCUAAGCUUAUUAGCAUCAUACCUGUGUCUAGUUUUUUUGAGUCUGGUAGUUGUAGCCGAUG
rnacentral:misc_RNA from 1 species